rnacentral:rRNA from 1 species
CAGCAGCCGCGGUAAUACGAAGGGGGCUAGCGUUGCUCGGAAUGACUGGGCGUAAAGGGCGCGUAGGCGGUUUGUACAGUUGGGUGUGAAAUUCCUGGGCUUAACCUGGGGGCUGCACCCAAGACGUGCAGGCUUGAGUGUGGAAGAGGGUCGUGGAAUUCCCAGUGUAGAGGUGAAAUUCGUAGAUAUUGGGAAGAACACCGGUGGCGAAGGCGGCGACCUGGUCCAUUACUGACGCUGAGGCGCGAAAGCGUGGGGAGCAAACAGGAUUAGAUACCCCCGUAGUCCCUGUCUCUUAUAC